rnacentral:lncRNA from 1 species
UGUGAGUGCCCCAACUGUCUAAGUGGGAAAGGGAGACCCUCCUCUCCCGAACACACACCGGAGAAGCUGAAGGUCUGUUUGUGGGAGAAGUUUCCGACUUUACCUAAAGCUGAGUCAAGUUAGAGAGCCAAGCGAAAUACAGGGGUAGAGAAAGCAGCAGAAAGGCCCUGGGAGCUUGCCGGGUCCCAAAGCAGCCCAUUCCUGCCUGGCACCACAGGGAUCCCUCAGAAGGGUGGCCAGAGGAGCAGCAGACUGAAAUUAUUAACUGGCAGCAAACCAGCCUUCAGCAUACACAUGAUGACAAUGCCUGGGAGGAUUCUGUUGGAGAAACAAGAAGGAAGGAAACUUGGAUCUUGAGUGACUUCAUAGAGCAAACUGGUCUGGCAUAAUGGAACAUCUCUAUGGACUGCUGCAUGAAUGUUCGAUAACACUUUAUUUUGUUUGAGCCAUUGCAUUUUGUUCUGAUUUUACUAUAUAUGCUGCUGCAGCAAGCACAGAGGAUUGCAUUUGAGACACUUUAUUCAAGUAGUUUAGUAAUAUUCUAAAAAAAUUAGUAUUUAUUAUAAGAAUUAACAAUUAGUAUACAUCAAAAGGGUGCUGUUUAGCCACUUAGAAAAAGCUGAUCUUUAGCAUUUUACAAAAGUCUAUUUAAAAAUAACUUACAUAAAAGUGUAAGAGAAAACAACCAAGAUGAGUGAAGUUGUUAUAUUGACAAUAUUAUACUUCAUUCUAAUUUAUUCAUUACGAUUUUAAGAAAUUUGCAUUUGGCAACACUUGGUUUGUCCUACCUCCAGCGACUGUUUUUAUUUAUUUGGCAACACUUGGUUGGUCCUACCUCCAGUGACUGUAUGUAUGUAUGUAUGUAUGUAUGUAUGUAUGUAUGUAUGUAUGUAUGUAUUUAUUUUUGAGACAGAGUCUUACUCUCGCCCAGGCUGGAGUAUAGUGGUGCAAUCUUGACUCACUGCAACCUCCACCUCCCAGGUUCAAGUGAUUCUCCUGCCUCACCCUCCUGAGUAGCUGGGAUUACAGGCAUGCACCACCACACCCAGCUAAUUUUUUGUAGUUUUAGUAGAGACAGGGUUUCUCCAUGUUGGCCAGGGUGGUCUCAAACUCCUGACCUCAGGUGAUCCGCCUGCCUUGGCCUCCCGAAGUGCUAGGAUUACAGGUGUGGGCCACCGUGCCUGGCCUCCAGUGACUGUUUAUAUUUAGCAGAAAUAAAAUUAUGUACAAACCAGGUGGAUAUGCUUCUAACUAGUAUUAAUUAGGUUUUAUUAAAUGUUUAUUGAUUUACACAUAUUUUUAUACAGUGAUACCAAAAUUAAAUAGGAACUAAGUAUCAACAUAUAAAGUUAGAAAGAAUGAUGACUAUACGAAUGAAAGUCCUGCUUAUAAUUAUAAUGUUAAAUAAUAUUUUGUUAGUUUAAAUGACACCUCUGAUUUGGUUACAACUAUAAUUACUUCUUUGCUGGCAUUUAAAACUAAAACAGAAGAAGAAUUACAAAAUCUUAGGGAUCUGUGGAUCAUAGAUGCUAUGCAGCCUAACUUUACAGUGAAGAAUUUUUCUCAGGCUCUCUGAAAAGUGUCACAUAAUCUUUUCCUUACACUCUACUUACAGUGCUUGAGAGUACACUCCUCAUCUCACAUAAGGAAAUCCAUUCCAUAACCAGGCAGUUCUAAUUGUUGGAAACACUUUUACUGGGCAGAAAUCUGUUUCUAUAGCCACUUCAUCCACUGAUUUUAUUUCAGCCUUUUAGAGUUACAAAAAAUGAAUCUCAACCCUUCUUCUAUGACAGUAACUUAAAUACUUACUUUUACCUAUCAAAUAGUAUCAGAUUAUUACCUGAGAAAAUUUCCUU